AAUAGAUACCCGGGUAGUCCACGCCGUAAACGAUGAGUGCUAAGUGUUAGAGGGUUUCCGCCCUUUAGUGCUGCAGCUAACGCAUUAAGCACUCCGCCUGGGGAGUACGGCCGCAAGGCUGAAACUCAAAGGAAUUGACGGGGGCCCGCACAAGCAGUGGAGCAUGUGGUUUAAUUCGAAGCAACGCGAAGAACCUUACCAGGUCUUGACAUCCUCUGCCAACCCUAGAGAUAGGGUGUUCCCCUUCGGGGGACAGAGUGACAGGUGGUGCAUGGUUGUCGUCAGCUCGUGUCGUGAGAUGUUGGGUUAAGUCCCGCAACGAGCGCAACCCUUGAUCUUAGUUGCCAGCAUUUAGUUGGGCACUCGUAAGGUGGACUGCCGGUGACAAACCGGAGGAAGGUGGGGAUGACGUCAAAGUCAUCAUGCCCCUUAUGACCUGGGCUACACACGUGCUACAAUGGAUGGUACAAAGAGCUGCGAACCCGCGAGGGUAAGCCAAUCUCAUAAAAGCCAUUCUCGAGUUUCGGAUUGUAGGA
rnacentral:rRNA from 1 species